rnacentral:rRNA from 1 species
CACAGAGUUAGCCGAUGCUUAUUCCUCAGAUACCGUCAUUGUUUCUUCUCCGAGAAAAGAAGUUGACGACCCGUAGGCCUUCCACCUCCACGCGGCAUUGCUCCGUCAGGCUUUCGCCCAUUGCGGAAAAUUCCCCACUGCUGCCUCCCGUAGGAGUCUGGGCCGUAUCUCAGUCCCAGUGUGGCCGGUCACCCUCUCAGGCCGGCUACCCGUCGUCGCCUUGGUAGGCCAUUACCCCACCAACAAGCUGAUAGGCCGCGGGCCCAUCCCACACCGCAAAAGCUUUCCACCACACACCAUGAAGCGCGUGGUCCUAUUCGGUAUUAGACCCAGUUUCCCAGGCUUAUCCCAAAGUGCAGGGCAGAUCACCCACGUGUUACUCACCCGUUCGCCACUCGAGUACCCCGAAGGGCCUUUCCGUUCGACUUGCAUGUGUUAAGCACGCCGCCAGCGUCGUCCUCGUAGCACGGAGUCGAACUAC